rnacentral:rRNA from 1 species
UACGGGAGGCAGCAGUGGGGAAUAUUGGACAAUGGGCGGAAGCCUGAUCCAGCAAUACCGCGUGUGUGAAGAAGGCCUGAGGGUUGUAAAGCACUUUCAAUUGGGAGGAAAACAGGCAGGUCAAUACCCU